rnacentral:rRNA from 1 species
UACGAAGGGGGCUAGCGUUGCUCGGAAUUACUGGGCGUAAAGCGCACGUAGGCGGCUUUCUAAGUCGGGGGUGAAAUCCUGGAGCUCAACUCCAGAACUGCCUUCGAUACUGGAGAGCUUGAGUCCGGGAGAGGUGAGUGGAACUGCGAGUGUAGAGGUGAAAUUCGUAGAUAUUCGCAAGAACACCAGUGGCGAAGGCGGCUCACUGGCCCGGUACUGACGCUGAGGUGCGAAAGCGUGGGGAGCGAACAGG